UACAGAGGGCGCAAGCGUUAAUCGGAAUUACUGGGCGUAAAGCGUGCGUAGUCGGUUAUUUAAGUCGGGCGUGAAAGCCCCGGGCUCAACCUGGGAAUUGCGUUCGAUACUGGAUAGCUAGAGUUCGGCAGAGGGAAGCGGAAUUUCUGGUGUAGCGGUGAAAUGCGUAGAUAUCAGAAGGAACAUCAGUGGCGAAAGCGGCUUCCUGGACCAGAACUGACGAUCAGGCACGAAAGCGUGGGGAGCAAACAGG
rnacentral:rRNA from 1 species